AUGACCCAGACUCCAUCCUCCCUGUCUGCAUCUCCAGGAGACACAGUGACCAUCAAUUGCAGGGCCAGUCAGAACAUUAACAAGUAUUUAGCCUGGUUUCAGCAGAAACACGGGAAACCUCCUAAGCGGCUGAUCUAUGGCACAUCCAAUUUGGACUCUGCGUUCCCAUCCAGGUUCAGUGGCAGUGGAUCUGGAACAGAUUAUUCUCUUACCAUCAGCAGCCUGCAGCCUGAAGAUGGGGCAACUUAUUUCUGUACACAGGGUUAUAGUUAUCCUUCCACAGUGAUACAAGUCAUAACAGAAACCUCCCAGGGAAGCAGAAGUGAGAGGCUGGGCUGCCCCAGCUGCUCCUGCAGCCUCUACCUGCUGACAGUGCUUCUCAGAUUCAUCUCUGAGGGUCGCUUGAAAUUUUGGUAG